rnacentral:rRNA from 1 species
UGUUAAUAAUUUAUAUAAAAUAUUUUGAUGAAUAUUUAUAUAAUAUUAACAUAAUUCAUAUUACUAUUUUUUUCUUAGUAUAUGAAAUUUUACUUUGAGAAAAUUAGAGUGCUUAAAGCAGGCAUAUGCCUUGAAUACUCCAGCAUGGAAUAGUAUUAAAGAUUUUUAUCUUUUUUAUUGGUUCUAAGAUAAGAAUAAUGAUUAAUAGGGACAGUUGGGGGCAUUUGUAUUUAACAGUCAGAGGUGAAAUUCUUAGAUUUGUUAAAGACAAACUAAUGCGAAAGCAUUUGCCAAGGAUGUUUUCAUUAAUCAAGAACGAAAGUUAGGGGAUCGAAGACGAUCAGAUACCGUCGUAGUCUUAACCAUAAACUAUGCCAACUAGAGAUUGGAGGUUGUU